UCAUCACAAAUAUGUUCGUGAUUUUACUUCUUGCUGUAGUCGGAAUUUUGACGUAUUACAAAGUGGAUGGCUUUUAUCAAGGGCGGGUACCUUAUUUUUGUAAGGGAUACAAGAAAUUUCCGAAACCAAUAAUUUGUCGUUUUUAACUUAUCAUGGAUUUCGAAAAUAAAUAAAAUGACUGUUAUGAACUACGUAAAGGAAAUAUUAUUUAAAUCUUAUUAAUUGUUUCAAAAAGAAAUGAAUUUCUUUUUUUUUUUGUAAAAUAUAAGAUAAUUGAAUAAUUUCUCUGCUUCAGCAUUACGUGGUUUUUGAGAUUACGUUCUUAGAAAGCAUUUCGUUCAUAUUAUGCAUUUUAAAUAAAAAAGCCACGUAGUAUGGUUUUCGAUAAGAUAUUAGUAAUGUUACUUUCGUGACAUGUAAAGUUACGAUGUAGAUAUUUGCGUGUAUAUAAGACCAUGCAAAAGCAACUGAUACAGAAAACUAAUUUCAUUGACGUGAAAUACGUAACAAAUUUCAUCAUGAAAAGUACGUGCUUGAUUUUACUUUUUGCUAUAGCAGCAAUUUUGACAUUUUUCGGAGUUAAUGGUGAAUCAUUAGCUGAGCCAUUUGCUAUGCCAAUAACUAAUCCAAAGGCUACCCCAUUGGCUAAGCUCCCGCCUGGAUUCUCACCAUUUUGAAUUAUUUAAAUAACACUUUGUAUCCUAAAACAUUAUACAAUAAAAUUAUAAAAUUUUAUAAGAAUUUAAUCUUGUAAAUUUAUUUCCUUCCUCUUUAUUUACUGUUACUUGACAUAAUUCAUGAUAUAAUGUAAUUCCAUUAAUUAUUGAACUCGUAUGAAUGUAUUUGUUGAAUCAACCUAUUUGAAAUUUCACCUGUGCAAUAAUUUUACCUAUGCAAUUAUUCUUUCAAAAUUAUUUUUUUUAUUUGAAAUGCAUUUUAACAAUUCGAAAAUAUUUUUUGUCGAUUACUGAUUCGUCACAAUUUGGAUUAAAAUUUUUUCAAGUAUGUUUUUCAUAUUAUGCAAUAUUUUAAGACUGUUAUUAUCUGUUGAACAAUAAAAUUCCAUUUAUUAAUUACAUGGCAAUAUUUGGUAACGUAUUGUUGAAUUUUUUAAUAAUCAAUUCUAUUUGUAUUGUGUGUGUGAUUGCGACAAUUAAAAUACAUAUCUAUUCAUACUAUCUGUAUGAAAUUGAUAUACUGAUUUAUGAAUUCAUCAAAAUUAUAAUAUAUGUUAUUAUUUUUUUCUAUUAAAAAAUGUAUAUCUCUGUAGUACACAUAAACAUACUUAAUGUACUAUUAGACAAGAAUACAUUUACGUAUUUAUAUUUUGAAUUGUUACUUAACUAAUAAGCUAAUAAAUUAAUUUUUCGUCUUUCGGAUUAUAUAUUUUUUUCAACUAUGAUUGUAGGUUUAUACAUAAAAGUAUAUCUUUCACGAAAGAAACUGUUUAUGUUUGUACGUAAGAUUAUACUUUUCACGAAAGAAACUUUAUUCAUUCUCAAUAAAAAAGCAAUACUGCAUAAAUUUCGAUAAGAUAGAUAUUAGUCAUGUUAUUAUCGUGACACGUUUACUCAUGAAGUUGAUAUAUGCGUGUAUAUAAGACAGUGAAAAUGUAGAUGCUGCAAGAAACUAUCUCGCUUGGAGUCGAAUACAAAAUAAAAUUACAUUAUGAGAAUGAAGUUCUUGAUUCUACUUUUAACUGUGAUCAUAACUUUGACAUUCUCCAAAGUAAACUGCGUACCAAUUGCUGAGCCAUCGGCUGAACCAUGGGAUAAUAUUGAUCUCUGUGCGCAGUUAAAGAAACCAGGACAAAGUCCACCAAUAAUUUGCACUUAUCACUAAUCAUUAUUUCCAGAAAUAAGUAAAAUGUCUGUUA